UAGCCAUGAUGAGGGCACUAAUUUAAUAGAUCUUUGAAUCUUUCCCAGACAUGAUAGAACGUUUCAUUGUUUUUUGGGGAAAAUGUAGAAAUUUGUCAUUUUAAACUA